ACAACAACUACAACUUGGGAGCAGAUAAACAACUUAGGUGACAGAAUGUUGUUUUUGGGAGUGAAUUCCUCUUUUUCCCUUUCAUCCUAUGAUUUCCCUCCUGGAUGUUGGAGAGGGAAUUGCAUCUAUUUCGCUCAUCAUCAUUUCGGUGGUGGUGGUUUUAACCCGAGCCAUGAAUGUGAUUUAUAAA